UACGGAGGAUGCAAGCGUUAUCCGGAUUUGUUGGGUUUAAAGGGUGCGUAGGCGGACUUUUAAGCGUGAGGUGAAAUGCCACAGCUCAACUGUGGAACUGCCUCGCGAACUGGGAGUCUGGAAUGUCCGUGCCGUGGGAGGAAUGUGUGGUGUAGCGGUGAAAUGCAUAGAGAUCACACAGAACACCGAUUGCGAAGGCAUCUCACGAACGGAUGAUUGACGCUGAGGCACGAAAGUGUGGGGAUCAAAC
rnacentral:rRNA from 1 species